GGAUUGUAGCUCAGUGGUAGAGUGCUUACCUAGCAUGUGUGAGGCACUGGGUUCUAUCCUCAGCACCA
rnacentral:tRNA from 1 species